rnacentral:rRNA from 1 species
GACGUAGGGCGCGAGCGUUGUUCGGAAUUAUUGGGCGUAAAGAGCUUGUAGGCGGUUUGUCGCGUCUGCUGUGAAAAUCCGGGGCUCAACCCCGGACUUGCAGUGGGUACGGGCAGACUGGAGUGUGGUAGGGGAGACUGGAAUUCCUGGUGUAGCGGUGGAAUGCGCAGAUAUCAGGAGGAACACCGAUGGCGAAGGCAGGUCUCUGGGCCACUACUGACGCUGAGAAGCGAAAGCAUGGGGAGCGAACAGG